GCUCCCUGAUGUUAGCGGCGGACGGGUGAGUAACACGUGGGUAACCUGCCUGUAAGACUGGGAUAACUCCGGGAAACCGGGGCUAAUACCGGAUGGUUGUUUGAACCGCAUGGUUCAAAUAUAAAAGGUGGCUUCGGCUACCACUUACAGAUGGACCCGCGGCGCAUUAGCUAGUUGGUGAGGUAACGGCUCACCAAGGCAACGAUGCGUAGCCGACCUGAGAGGGUGAUCGGCCACACUGGGACUGAGACACGGCCCAGACUCCUACGGGAGGCAGCAGUAGGGAAUCUUCCGCAAUGGACGAAAGUCUGACGGAGCAACGCCGCGUGAGUGAUGAAGGUUUUCGGAUCGUAAAGCUCUGUUGUUAGGGAAGAACAAGUACCGUUCGAAUAGGGCGGUACCUUGACGGUACCUAACCAGAAAGCCACGGCUAACUACGUGCCAGCAGCCGCGGUAAUACGUAGGUGGCAAGCGUUGUCCGGAAUUAUUGGGCGUAAAGGGCUCGCAGGCGGUUUCUUAAGUCUGAUGUGAAAGCCCCCGGCUCAACCGGGGAGGGUCAUUGGAAACUGGGGAACUUGAGUGCAGAAGAGGAGAGUGGAAUUCCACGUGUAGCGGUGAAAUGCGUAGAGAUGUGGAGGAACACCAGUGGCGAAGGCGACUCUCUGGUCUGUAACUGACGCUGAGGAGCGAAAGCGUGGGG
rnacentral:rRNA from 2 species